rnacentral:rRNA from 1 species
CAGACGAUGCGUCAUGCAUAUCAAUAAGCGGAGGAAAAGAAACUAACAAGGAUUCCCCUAGUAACGGCGAGUGAAGCGGGAAGAGCUCAAAUUUGAAAUCUUAAAGGGUUUCCCUUUACGAAUUGUAGUUUAAAGAAGUGUUUUCUGUUGAGGUUUUGGUAAAAGUUCUUUGGAAUAGGACAUCAUAGAGGGUGAGAAUCCCGUAUUUGACCUUUACUCUCAACUUUGUGAUACACUUUCAAAGAGUCGGAUUGUUUGGGAAUGCAGUCCAAAAUGGGUGGUAAAUUUCAUCUAAAGCUAAAUAUUAGCGAGAGACCGAUAGUGAACAAGUACCGUGAGGGAAAGAUGAAAAGAACUUUGAAAAGAGAGUUAAACAGUACGUGAAAUUGUCAAAAGGGAAGCGUUUGACACCAGUGUUGUUUUUCUGAAAAUCAAUUAAAGAACUGUUUAUGCUAAGUUGUUUAGACUUUAUCAGCUAACUGUUUAGUUUUGAGCUUUUCUUUAAUGCACUUUUCAGUUAACAAGUCAACAUCAAUUUCUUUUGCUGUAAAAAAGCUUGAGGAAGGUGGCUUGAGAUUCGUCUUAAGUGUUUAUAGCCUCUUGCCUAUGCAGUCGGAGAGAUUGAGGUCUGCAGCGUAGAUCCUUCGGGGCUAAAUGCAUUUGUGCUAAGUUAUAGCAUUUUAUAGACAACUUGUUGACUAUGAUUUGUCUUGUAGCUUACUCGCUUAUGUUAUUUUACCUACGCUUAGGAUGUUGAAUCUGUGCGAGACUAC